CGGCAUGGGAGAGGCGGUGAGUAAAAAGGAGGCCAGGAGGAAGGACUCAGCCUCUUCCUAAUGGGCCUCAGGGCGUCAGCUCUGGCCUCACAUUUGCACACCCCACGUAGCAAACAGACGGGCCUCCGGGACCUCCCCUUGUCCCCAGACGGCAGGUGAAAGCCUUUCUUCCUCCCCCGCACGCGCUCUUGCUGGGAGGGGCUCCGCGAGGUCCAGCUUUUUCCGAUGGUUUCCUCUGCCGCCGCGUUUCAGCGUCCGUUAUCGGCCCGCGUGCUGACACCCGACGUCGCCGGGCCGGUGGUGAGCAGGGGCGUGGCAGCAGGCCACUGUCCGCCGCACGGUCAGGGCUCAGUAAGAGCAGCUGUUGUUACUAUUACUACAGGAAGUUGACCAGGCUUACAAAAUUCUUCAGUUGAAAAGCUGCAAGAGUUCAAACUAUGUCCUUUUUCCUGAACCUGAAGGAAGAAAAUCUUUAAGUAUUUAUCUGUUGUCUCCUGAGCACGUCGGAGUGUGCUCGAGUUUGUUCCUUUGUAUGUGAUGGAUUGCUUUGUUUGAGUGACAUUGCCAGGAGGUGACACGGAGGAGCGUCAGUAAAGAAACGAAUGGGUUUAUUUUGUAAGUGAUAUCUCAGUUCUGAGGUAGCUUCGAGAAGCCCUCAAGACCUAGAAGCUUCUCCGUCCUACUGAAUUAAAUGUCUGAGACAAUGAUGUGGUCAAGCUUCCAGUUAACACACAACAAAGCCGUGCAGCCGCCCGUUGGACUGCGGGCUGCACGGCUGACAGGAGCCGGUUCUGAUGCCCACAGGAAAACAAGGGUGUGAAGCAAGAAAGACAGGGGAGAGUUUUGCAUCAGAGAGAGUAGAUAGUGAUUAAUUACUUUUGGGGUUAGGGUUUUUAAAUAACAGCUUUCCGGACAAUUCUCAUUCUUCUUGGUGACAUAUUCUGCUUUAGAUUUUUAAUUCUGGAGGUCAGAUUAUUUUUUAAAAGCAGUAAAGAAUAUUAAAUUGUAACCAUAAAGGGGAAACAUUUUAAUAUAAAAAAUAUAUCUGAAAUAUCCUGUUAGCAUAUUAAUAUUUACCCCAUUUGGUCCUUCCCCAUAUGUUCAUAUUAUUUGUAUGUAAAUACAGUUAUGUUUAUAUUCCACUUUUUCAUUGAUAUAAAUUGUAUCUAUAUAUAUUUCCUUCAAGGACUUUUGAUUAUAUAAAAUAUUUCUGUAGUUUACUAUGACACCCUUAAAAACGUUUUUAAGCAUCAGGUCAUUGAGAAGGGACCAUUCUGUUUUACUCAUUGUUGUUGUUAAGAUUAAUUUUAUAUUUGUUAAGACCCACCAAUGAAAUACAUGUCUAUGCUAGUCUGUGAAAUGGGUUAAAAGAUGCAAGAAAAAACCUCCAAACGAAAAGACUUUUGUGGAUCUUUUCUCCAGGAAUGGUAAAAACAAUAUUCCUCUUUCAUUCGUGCUUAUUCAUUUGAUCAAUACUAAUUGGAUACCUGCACUGGGCAAAGCAUUGUGUGAGAGACGUCACUGUAGAACGGUCACUUCCUUCCUUCAGCCAGCUUACUAUCUGUCGGGAGAGGUACCUCCCACACGGGUGGCAUAUGAUACAUGGGCUGGGCGGGACACCAACAGUGCCGUGGUGUAGGAGGAUAAAGGAACUUUUUGGCCACAGUGAUUCGGUGAGAUAUCAUGGAGGGACUGGAUUUUAAAUUGGAGUUGAGGAGUGGAUAGGGAAAGACAGAGAAAAGACGUUCAGUCAUCUGAGAUUAACAAAAGCAAAGUCGCUGAAGAAGGGACCGUUAGGCACAUUAGAAGAACAAUGAGUGGUCCACAUUUGUUGAAGUGCAGGGUUCCUGUGGGGAAAUGGUGCUGGGAAACCCAGGGAGAGCCUGGAGCUGGAUUCUGGAGGGCCUCAAAGCUUUAUUUAAAUAGGACGCCACUGAUGGUUUCUAAAUAGUUGAGUGACUAAAAAAUAGAGCUUUAAAAUAUUAAUCUGAGGGGCUGGCCCCGUGGCUGAGUGGUUAAGUUCACGCGUUCCGCUGCAGGUGGCCCAGUGUUUCAU